rnacentral:rRNA from 1 species
GAUGAACGCUGGCGGCGUGCCUAAUACAUGCAAGUCGAGCGAACAGAUGAGGAGCUUGCUCCUCUGACGUUAGCGGCGGACGGGUGAGUAACACGUGGAUAACCUACCUAUGAGACUGGGAUAACUUCGGGAAACCGGAGCUAAUACCGGAUAAUAUAUUGAACCGCAUGGUUCAAUAGUGAAAGACGGUUUUGCUGUCACUUAUAGAUGGAUCCGCGCCGCAUUAGCUAGUUGGUAAGGUAACGGCUUACCAAGGCAACGAUGCGUAGCCGACCUGAGAGGGUGAUCGGCCACACUGGAACUGAGACACGGUCCAGACUCCUACGGGAGGCAACAGUAGGGAAUCUUCCGCAAUGGGCGAAAGCUUGACGGAGCAACGCCGCGUGAGUGAUGAAGGUCUUCGGAUCGUAAAACUCUGUUAUUAGGGAAGAACAAAUGUGUAAGUAACUAUGCACGUCUUGACGGUACCUAAUCAGAAAGCCACGGCUAACUACGUG